CAUGGUUCCUAGUCGGAUUUGUUAACCACUGUGCCACAACAGGAACUCCCUCUGAUAAAUUUCUAUUCUUUACUCUUUACUUUCCUUGAGUUUAUAUAUUUAAUUUUUUAAUUUUUCAAAUGAUUUUAUUUUUUCCAUCAUACCUGGUUUAUAGUGUUCUGUCAAUUUUCUGUUGUACAGCAAAGUGACCCAGUCACACAUACAUAUUAUAUAUACAUUCUUUUUCUCACAUUAUCAGGCUCCAUCACAAGUGACUAGAUAUAAUUCCCAUGUAUGGGUCGAAUCAAAGCUACUGCCAUUGGCCUACACCACAGCCACACAUGCUGGAUCCAAGCUGCAUCUGUGACCUACACCACAGCUAUGGCAAUGCCAGAUUCUUAACCCACUGAGCAAGGCCAGGGAUCAAGGCUGGGUUCUCAUGGAUUCUAGUUGGGUUUGUUAACUCCUGAGCCAUGACAGGAACUCCCCAUUUGUGCUAUAUUUUAGAUUCCACAUCUAAGUGAUAUCAUAUGGUAUAUGUAUUUCUCUGACUUCACUUGGUAGAAGUGAAUCUUUAAUUGCAUCCAUGUUGCUGCAAAUUUUGUUCUUUUUUAUGGCUGGGUAAUAUUCCAUUGUGUAUAUAUACCACAUCUGCUUUAUCCCUUCAUCUGUUGAUGGACAUUUACAUUGUUUCCAUGUUUUGGCUGUUGUGAAUAGUGAUGCAAUGAGUAUAGGGGUGCACGUAUCUUUUGAAUGAAAGUUUUGUCUGGAUAUAUGCCCUGGAGUGAGAUUGCUGGAUCAUAUGGUAGUUCUGUAUUUAGUUUUCUGAGGUACCUCCAUAUUGUCUUCCACAGUGGUUAUACCAAUUUACAUUCCCACCAAUAGUGUAGGUGGGUUCCUUUUUCUCCACACCCCCUCCGGCAUUCGUUAUUAGUAGACUUGUUAAUGAUAGCCAUUCUGACUGGCGUGAGGUGGUACCUCAUCAUAGUUUUGAUUUGCAUUUCUCUAAUAUUAGUGAUAUUGAACCUUUUUUUCAUGUGCCUACUGGCUGUCUGUAUGUCCUCUUUGGAGAAAAGUCUGUUUAGGUCUUCUGCCCAUUUUUCAAUUGGGUGUUUGUUUUCAUUGAGUUGUGUGAGUUGUUUGCAUAUUUUUGAGAUUAGGCCCUUGUCAGUUGCAUCAUUUGCAAAGAUUUUCUCCCAUUCUGUGGAUUAUCUUUUCAUUUUUUUUUUUGGCUGCCCAGAUGCAUACGGAGUGCCAAGGCCAGGGAGCAGAUCGGAGCUGCACUUAUGACCUAUGCCACAGCUAUGGCAAUGCUGGAUCCUUAACACAUUGUGCCAGGCCAGGGAUCGAACCAUCACACCAGUGCUUCAGAGAUGCUGCUGAUCUUGUUGAGCCACAGCAAGAACCCCAUCUUUUCGUUUUUAAAAUGGUUUCCUUUGCUGCACAAAAGCUUUUAAGUUUAAUUAGGUCCCAUUGGUUUAUUUUUCUUUUUAUUGUCAUUAUUCUAGGAGGUGGCUCAAAUAAGAUGUUGCUGUGAUUUAUGUCAAAGAGUGUUCUGGCUGUUUCCCUCUAGGGUUUUAUAAAUUAUCUGGCCUUACAUUUAGGCCUUCAAUCCAUUUUGAGUUUAUCUUUGUACGUGGUAUAAGGGAGUGUUCUAAUUUCAUUCUUUUACAUGUAGCUGUCCAGUUUUCCCAGCACCACUUUGUGAAGAGACUGUCUUCCUUCCACUGUAUGUUCUUGCCUCCUUUGUCAUAGGUGAGUUAACCACAGGUGCUUGGGUUUAUUUCUGGGCUUUCUGUCCUGCUCCACUGAUCUAUACUUCUGUGUUUGUGCCAGUACCAUCCUGUUUUGGUGACCAUAGCUUUGGGUAUAGUCUGGAGUCAGGGAGACUCAAUCCUUCAUUUCUGUUUUCUUUUUCAAUAUCGCUUUGACUCUUCUAGGUCUUUUGUAUUUCCACACAGAUUUUAAAAUAUUCUCCUCUAGUUCUGUGAAGAAUGUCCUUGGUAAUUUGAUAGGGAUUGCAGCAUUGAAUCUGUAGACUGCCUUGGGUAGUAUAGUCAUUUUGAUAAUAUUGAUUAUUCCAAUCCAAGAGCAUGAUCUAUCUUUCUGUUUGUAUCAUCUUUGAUUUUUUUCAUCAGUGUCAUAUUUUUCAGAGUACAGGCCUAUUGUUUCUUUAAGUAGGUUAUUCCUAGGUGUUUUAUUCCUUUUGAUUUGAUGGUAAAUGGGAUGGUUUCCUAAUUUCUCUUUCUGAUGUUUUAUUGUUAGUAUGUAGAAAUGCAAUUGAUUUUUUGUGUUAAUUUUGUAUCCUGCAACUUUACCAAAUUAAUUGAUGAGCUCUAACAGUUUUCUGUUAGUGUCUUUAGGAUUUUCUAGGUAUAGUAUCAUGUCAUCUGCAAAUAGUGAUAAUUUUACUUGUUCCUUUCCAAUUUGGAUUCCUUUUAUUUCCUUUUGUUCUCUGACUGCCAUGGCUAGGAAUUCCAAAACUAUGUUGAAUAACAGUGAUGAGGGUAGACAUCCUUAUUUUGCUCUUAAUCUUCAAGAAAAUGCUUAUAGCUUCUCAAUGUUGAGAAUGAUGUUAGCUGUGGGUUUGUCCUAUAUGGCCCUUAUUACGUUGAGGUAGGUUCCUUCUGUGCCCACUUUCUGGAGAGUUUUUUUUUAAAUCAAAAGUGGGUAUUGAAUUUGCGAAAAGCUCUUUCUGCAUCUAUUGAGGUGAUCAUAUGGUUUUUAUUCUCCAGUUGGUUAAUGUGGUGUAUCACACUGUUUGAUUUGCAAAUACUGAAGAACAUCCUAUAAAUUUAGUUUUACAGAAUUUUCAUUAUCUUAAAGUUCAACAUAUGUUCAUGGUUGACUGUAAUUUUUCUUCUUUGACCCAUAGGUAUUUCUUUGACCAAUUUUGGUAUUUCUUUCUUUUUCAACAUGUAUUUCUUUUUUUUUUCUUUUUAGGCCACACCUGCAGCAUAUGGAAGUUCCUGGCCUAGGGGUCGAAUUGGAGUUGCAGCUGCCAGCCUACACCACAGCCACAGCAAUGCCAGAUCUGAGACAUCUGUGACUUAUGCCACAGCUCGUGGCAAUGCCAGAUUCUUAACCAAAUGAGCACGGCUAGGGAUCAAACCCACAUCCUUAUGGAUACUUUUGGGUUCUUAAUCUGCUGAACCACAAUGGGAACUCCACCAACAUGUAUUUCUUAAUUUGCAAACACAUGGGGAUUUGCUAGUCCUCUUUAAGUUAAGAUUUAUUGGAAAGAGCAAUUUUAGACUUACAGCAAAAUUGAUUGGAAGGUACAGUGAUUUCCUAUAUAUCCCCUGCCCCUGAACACACAUAGCCUGUCCCAUUAUCAACACCCCACCAGAGUGGCACGUUUGUUACAACAGAUGAACCUGCAUUGAUACAUCAUAAUCACCCAAAGUCCAUAGUUUAUAUUAUGGUUGACUCUUGGUGUUUUACAUUCUAUAGGUUUUGACAAAUGUAUAAUGACAUGUACCCAUCAUUAUAGUAUCAGACGAAGUAUUUUCAUAGCCCUAAAUAUCCUGUGUUCCACCUAUUUCUGCCAGCCCCCCUUUCUGGUAUAAAUAAAUGACUGAUCUUAGUGUCUCCAUAGUUUUGUCUUUUCCAAAAUAUCAUAUAGUUGGAAUCAUACAGUACAUAACCUUUUCAGAUUGGCUUCUUUCACUUAGUAAUAUGCAUUUAAGAUUCCUCCUUGUUGGAGUUCCUGAUGGCCUAGUGGUUAAGGGUUUGGUGUUAUCACUGCUGUGGCUCAGGUUCAGUCCCAGGCUUUGGAACUUCCGCCUGCAGAGGGCAUGACUACAAACUUUUAAAAAACUAUUGUAAAAUUCCUCCAUGUCUUUUCAUGGCUUGAUUUCUCAUUUUUCUUUAGUGCUGAAUAUUCCAUUGUCUGGAUAUACAAAAUUAUCCAUCCACCUGUGAAGGACAUCUUAGUUUUUUCCAAGUUUUAAUUAUGAAUAAAGCUGCUGUACACAUCCAUGGGCAGGUUUUUGUGUGAGCACACAUUUUCAACUCCUUUAGAUAAAUACCAAGGAAUCUUUUUGCUAGAUUGUGCGGUCAGACUGUAUUUAGUUCUGUAAGAAACCAUCAGCUGUCUUCCAACGUGGCUGUGCCAUUUUGCAUUCCCACCAGCAGUGGCUGAGCGUCCCCGUGCUCCACAUCCUCACCAGCGUCAGGUGUUGUGAGUUCUUGAUUCUAGCCAUUCCAAUAAGUGUGCAGUGGUGUCUUACUGUUUCUUUAUUUCCCUGGUUACAUUGAUAUACGGUGGCAUUCUGUACCACUGAGGGGCUGAUGGGACAAUUUUAUGGUUAACCUAGGUUGUGGGGGCAUAUGCUUGGAAACAGGAUGUACAUUCCCAAGUUAACAUUUAUGAAUUAGUAACUAGUCUUGUGGGUGCCGGGAAUACCUCAGUGAAGCUUUUCACCAUUGUUUGGGGACUAACAGAGCAUAGAGGCCUCCUGGUCCUAAUGAUUAUUAAUCAGUACCUGUUAACUACACAGCCCUUGAUGACAGAGAAGUGAUUUACUACACAGUACAGUCCUAGGUAGGGUCAGUGCCAGGACCGGAGAAACGGUCGGUUAUACUAACAGCCAUGCAUCUGCUCAAGUCCUUGGUCUUCAGGCUGUUUGCUUUCUUAUGCUGAGUUUUAAGAGUUCUUUGCACAUUUUGGAGAGCAGUCCUUUAUCAGAUGUGUCUGAGCAAAUAUUUCCUCCCAGUCUGUGAUGCGUCUUCUCAUUCUCUUGACAUUGUCUUGCAGAGCAGAAGUUUUCACCAGCUUAGAAAUUCUUUCUUUCAUGGAUUAUGCCUUUGGUAUAGUAUGAAAGGUCAUUGCCUUGUCCAAAGUCACAUAGAUUUUCUUCUAUGUUAUCUUCUAGGAGUUUUACAGUUUUGCGUUUUAUAUUUACAUAAAUGUUUUACAUUUUUAGUUAAUUUUUGUGAGGAACGUACGGUCUGUGUCUGGAUUCUUUUUUUCCUUUUCUUUUUUUGCAUGUGGAUACCCACUUGUUCCAGGAGUUUUUGUUGAAGGGGCUUUGUUUGCUCCAUUGUCAAAAGUCGGUUGACUAUAUUCAUGUGGGUCUGUUUCUGAGCUCUCUGUUUAGUUCUACUGAUCUGCCAAUUCCACACUGUCUUGAUUACUGUGGUUUUAGUAAGCCAGUAGUGUCAGUCUUCAGACUUUGUUCUUCAGUAUUGUGUUGACUAUUCUGUGUCUCUUGUCUCUCCAUAUGGACUGCAGAAUCAGUUGGUUGAUGUCCACAAAAUGGCUUGCUUUUUUGAUUUUUUUAAUUUUGAUUUUGAUUAUUAGAAAAAUGCAAAUCAAAACUACCAUGAGAUACCACCUCACACCAGUGAGAAUGGCCACCAUCAAUAAGUCCACAAAUAACAAGUGCUGGAGAGGGUGGAGAGAAGAGAACCCUCCUGCACUGUUGGUGGGAAUGUAAGCUGGUAUGACCACUAUGGAGAAUAGCAUGAAGGUACCUUAGAAAACUAUACAAAGAAUGACCAUAUGACCCAGAAAUCCCACAUUUGGGCAUAUAUCUGAACAAAACUUUCCUUAAAAAAGACACAUGCACAUGCAUUUUCAUUGCAGCUCUAUUCACAAUAGCCAAGACAUGGAAACAACCCAAAUGUCCAUCGACAGACGAUUGGAUUAGGAAGAUGUGGUAUAUAUACACAAUGGAAUACUACUCAGCCAUACAAAAGAACAAAAUAAUGCCAUGUGCAGCAACAUGGAUGGAACUAGAGACUCUCAUACUGAGUGAAGUAAGUCAGAAAGAGGAGGGCAAAUAUCAUAUGAUAUCAUUUGUUUCUAGAGUGUAAUAUACGGUACAAAUGAACCUUUCCACAGAAAAGAAAAUCAUGGACUUGGAGAAUAGACCUGUGGUUGCCUAGGGGGAGGGGGAGGGGGAGGGAGUGGGAUGGAUUGGGAGCUUGGGACUAAUGGAUGCCAACUAUCACUUAUGGAAUGGAUUAGCAGUGAGAUCCUGCUGUGUGUAUGGAGAACUAUGUCUAAUCACUUAUGAUGGAGCAUGAUAACGGGAGAAAAAAGAAUGUAUACAUGCAUGUGUAACUGGGUCACUAUGCAGUACAGUUGAAAAAAUUAUAUUGGGAAAAUAACAAUAAAAAAAGAUUUUGAUUGCACUGAGUUUACAGAUCAAGUUGGGAAGAAUUGACAUCUUGAUGUUAUUGAGUCUUCCUAACAAUGAACACAGAAUAUCUUUCUGUUUUGUUCAGUUAUCUUUUAAAACAUGGAUUUGAGGACUCAUUGUAUUGUGGUAAGAGAAAUACUCAGGUGCUUUCAAUGCUUUGAAAUUUGGGACUUUGAUCAAUUUUUUACAAAAUGUUCCAUGAAUGACUGGAAAUUAUAUGUAUUCGGCAGUUUGGGGGAGACAGUGUUUCAUUGGACAGGUUUGUUAUUGUUCUUUUAAAAAUCUUUGCUAUACUUUUACUGAUUUUUUUUGGUGUGCUUUUUGAAUGGGUUAGAAAGAAAUGUCAAAAUCUUCCACUCUGUGAAGUGAAGUGAUAUACUCCUCCUUGUAUUAUAUCAGUUUUUGCCAUGCAUAUUUUGAGACCAUGUUUAGAUGCAUGCAUGAUAGAAUUGUUAUAGCUUUUUGGUAAAUUGAAACUUUUAUCAUUAUGAAAUGAGUCUUUGUUGUGGCUCAGCAGGUUAAGAACCCAACAUCGUGUCUGUGAGGAUGCAAGUUUAAUCCCUGAUUUUUCUUAGUGGGUUAAGGACCUGGUGUUGCCACAAGCUGUGGCAUAAGUUGUGGCUUGUAUUGAGAGUUGCUGUGGCUGUGCUGUAGGCUGGUAACUGCAGCUCUGAUUUGACUUCCAGCCUGAGAAUUUUCAUAUGCCUUGGGUGUGGCCAAGAAAAAUUGAAAAAAAAAAA
rnacentral:lncRNA from 1 species